rnacentral:lncRNA from 1 species
CUGAAAAUAAAAGUUACCAGGUUGAGCUACCAGUGGGCAAUCCCUAAUGCAUCUGUGCUUGGAGGAUCAGUUUAGUUUUGGCCUCUAAAUUUAGUGUCGGAGAAGAAAGUGCUGAUCUAGGACAUAGCAGCAGUAGAAUCCACUUUGGGAAACUGUGCGAUCACUAACCUGAACGUGGAUGUGGAAGAUAUUACAAUUGUAAGAAUGGUCUAGUAGAAUAAUGAGUUUCAUGGACAAGAAAUCCAGAUGUUUCCCAGACAAGAGAAAAGCAGGAAAAUGGGAGUGACUAAACCCUUGAAGGGCUGUUGGAUCCUCCUGUUACUGCUCAGACCUGUCUCUUCAGAGAAGCAGUGUAGGAUCAACCGAAGAGCCAAGGUUUGUGGAUUGAAGUGAAGGCUUGGUGUAAUAGUUUAUGUAAAGUGCCUGGUAGGUUCUCAAUAACUUAUAGCUAUUAGUAUUUUUUAAUUACUUUUUACUGAAUAUUUUCCUUCACACAACCCCUUUAAAUCCUCUCCUCUCCAUACACUACAAAAUUG